rnacentral:rRNA from 1 species
GACGAACGCUGGCGGCGUGCCUAAUACAUGCAAGUUGAGCGCUGAAGGAUGGUACUUGUACCAACUGGAUGAGCAGCGAACGGGUGAGUAACGCGUGGGGAAUCUGCCUUUGAGCGGGGGACAACAUUUGGAAACGAAUGCUAAUACCGCAUAAAAACUUUAAACACAAGUUUUAAGUUUGAAAGAUGCAAUUGCAUCACUCAAGAUGAUCUCGCGUUGUAUUAGCUAGUUGGUGGGGUAAAGGCUCACCAAGGCGAUGAUACAUAGCCGACCUGAGAGGGUGGUCGGCCACCUUGGGACUGGGACAAGGCCCAAACUCCUACGGGAGGCAGCAGUAGGGAAUCUUCGGCAAUGGACGAAAGUCUGACCGAGCCACGCCGCGUGAGUGAAGAAGGUUUUCGGAUCGUAAAACUCUGUUGGUAGAGAAGAACGUUGGUGAGAGUGGAAAGCUCAUCAAGUGACGGUAACUACCCAGAAAGGGACGGCUAACUACGUG